rnacentral:rRNA from 1 species
AAUGGCUGCAGUAAUUUGACUGUACAAAGGUAGCAUAAUCAUUAGUUUUUUAAUUAAAAGCUUGAAUGAAGGGUUGGACGAAAUAAAAUCUGUCUCUUUUUAAUAUAUUAGAAUUUAAUUUUUAAGUUAAAAAGCUUAAAUUUUUAUAAAAGACGAGAAGACCCUAUAGAGUUUUAUAAUUUUAAUUUUAUAAUUAAUUUAGAUUAUUUAAUUUUAUUUUUUUAAAAAUUAUUUUAUUGGGGUAAUAAGAAGAUUUAGAUAAUUCUUUUUUUUAAAAAUCAUUAAUUUAUGAAAAUUUUAUGAUCCAUUAAAUUUUGAGUAUAAGAUUAAAUUACCUUAGGGAUAACAGCGUAAUUUUUUUAAAGAGUUCAUAUCGAUAAAAAAGUUUGCGACCUCGAUGUUGGAUUAAAGAUUAAUUUAGGGGUAGAAGUUUAAAUUUUUGGUCUGUUCGACCAUUGAAUCUUUACAUGAUCUGAGUUCAAACCGGUGUAAGCCAGGUCGGUUUCU